rnacentral:tmRNA from 1 species
ACCCUUGCAAUGGGCGGCAGGGCAUCAUAAAUCUGGUGGUGCAAGGGAAGUUUUCUUCCUGGCUAUGGCGAUAAACGGAACGCAGAAUAAGCGUAGUGGACCCGGGGGCAGUACCCGGCGUCUCCACCAGAAUUCCCGGCCUUUGGGCGGGGAACCAGCGGGGACGAAACAGGCUCGACACGCGUGGUAAAAUCGUUCCUUUUGCUCGGUAUUGUACCACCGUCAUCGGGCUAAAUUACAAGUGCCAACGAUAACUCAGAGGUGCUCGCUGUCGCUGCAUAAGCGAUAAGCGCGGUUCGGGAGGGCACCGGGCAACAGAAGCCCUCCCACU